UACGAAGGGGGCUAGCGUUGCUCGGAAUCACUGGGCGUAAAGCGCGCGUAGGCGGAUUGCUAAGUCAGGGGUGAAAUCCUGGAGCUCAACUCCAGAACUGCCUUUGAUACUGGCGACCUUGAGUCCGGGAGAGGUGAGUGGAACUGCGAGUGUAGAGGUGAAAUUCGUAGAUAUUCGGAAGAACACCAGUGGCGAAGGCGGCUCACUGGUCCGGUACUGACGCUGAGGUGCGAAAGCGUGGGGAGCAAACAGG
rnacentral:rRNA from 1 species